AUUGAACGCUGGCGGCAUGCUUUACACAUGCAAGUCGAACGGCAGCGCGGGCUUCGGCCUGGCGGCGAGUGGCGAACGGGUGAGUAAUACAUCGGAACGUGCCCAGUAGUGGGGGAUAGCUCGCGAAAGCCGGAUUAAUACCGCAUACGACCUGAGGGUGAAAGCGGGGGAUCUUCGGACCUCGCGCUAUUGGAGCGGCCGAUGGCAGAUUAGCUAGUUGGUGGGGUAAAGGCCUACCAAGGCGACGAUCUGUAGCUGGUCUGAGAGGACGACCAGCCACACUGGGACUGAGACACGGCCCAGACUCCUACGGGAGGCAGCAGUGGGGAAUUUUGGACAAUGGGCGAAAGCCUGAUCCAGCAAUGCCGCGUGUGUGAUGAAGGCCUUCGGGUUGUAAAGCACUUUUGGCGGGAACGAAAAGGACUGUGCCAAUACCACGGUUCGAUGACGGUACCCGCGGAAUAAGCACCGGCUAACUACGUG
rnacentral:rRNA from 1 species